rnacentral:rRNA from 1 species
GGUCCCAAGGGUUGGGCUGUUCGCCCAUUAAAGCGGUACGCGAGCUGGGUUCAGAACGUCGUGAGACAGUUCGGUCCCUAUCCGGCGUGGGCGUAGGAUAUUUGAGAGGAGCUGUCCUUAGUACGAGAGGACCGGGAUGGACCGGCCGCUGGUGGAUCUGUUGCGUCACCAGGCGCAUGGCAGAGUAGCCAAGCCGGGAAGGGAUAAACGCUGAAGGCAUCUAAGCGUGAAGCCCCCCUCAAGAUGAGAUAUCCCAUGCGAAAGCAGUAAGACCCCUUGAAGACGACGAGGUAGAUAGGGCAGAGGUGGAAGUGUGGCAACACAUGGAGCUGACUGUUACUAAUAGGUCGAGGGCAUAACCAAA